rnacentral:rRNA from 1 species
GACGUAGGGGGCCAGCGUUGUUCGGAAUUACUGGGUGUAAAGGGUUCGUAGGCGGUGUAGCAAGUCGGGAGUGAAAUCUCUGGGCUCAACCCAGAGUCUGCUUCCGAAACUGCUGUGCUUGAGUGUGGGAGAGGCGCGUGGAAUUGCAGGUGUAACGGUGAAAUGCGUAGAUAUCGGAAGGAACACCUGUGGCGAAAGCGGCUCACUGGACCAUAACUGACGCUGAGGCGCGAAAGCUAGGGGAGCAAACAGG